UCUAAUGUGGCAGAUUAGUGUAAUGGAUUUAAACCCCAUAUAUAAAGUUUAACCUUUCUUUAGAAAA
rnacentral:tRNA from 1 species